CACAGUUGAGUUCAUUGUUGAUGCUCUCUUCGGGAAAUUUUAUUUUUGGAGAUGAACACACAUAUUUAGGUUGAACAUCCUGUGACUGAGGUCAUUGUUGGUCAAGUGCAGAUUCUAUAUCAGGCCAUGCUUUUGAAGCCCGGAUAUAUAACGAAAAUAUGCCAAGAGGAUUUCUGCCAGCAACUGGUGUUCUUAAAUAUUACCGUUCUAUUCCAGUCUCUGAAAGCGUUUGAGUCGAAACUGAAGUUGAAUAAGGGGACACUGUAAGCAUGCAUUAUGACCCUAUGAUUGCUAAGCUUGUAGUGUGGGGAGAGAAUUCAGCAUUAGUUAAGUUGAACUAUUCUUUAUCCAAGUUUCAGGUUGCAGGUUUGCCGAGUACGUUCCUCUACAAACUUGCUAACCGCAGAGCAUUUGCAAUAGGUGAACUUGAAACUCAUUUUGUCAAUCAGUUCAAAGGUUGACUUAUUUGUGACACCAAAUGAUUUAAUAUCAGCAGAGGCAGAUAUGAUGGUGCUAGAUACACGGCAGCUUUAGUAGCUGCUUGUAUUUGUGAUAAGUAGCAUUCCCUAUCGAGAAAAAUCCCUCCUGGAGGAUUGUCUGUGUGGUAUACACAUCCUCCAUGAAGCGAUUUAUGAGGGUGCUAAGUACUCGCACACCCAUGUCCCAAAUUGGUUCGAACCCACAACCUCUUGGUUGGUGGGCAACCUUGAUACCACUCAGUUAAAGGCCUGCUGGUGUUUUGUAUACUCCUGAUUACACUUCGGUUGGCUUCCAACCCCCGUUUGACCCAUUUCCUUUUGAAUUAAAUCCUUUAACUUGAUCCAUUUUAGUGAUAAGUCAUAAUCACCCAAAGACCUACG